AAAGAAUACCUGGACAGCCUGCCAUCCUAUUGCUCCAAAAUGAAAAUCCUCUAAAAGGGUCAACUGGUGGCAGGGAACAAAACCCCGCUGAGACUGGCUGAAACACAAGUGGAGCCUGUGCUCAGGGUGCAGGAAGUGGAGCAUCCAAGGGGAGAGUGUUCACAGCAUCUUCACCAGGAUUAGAUUCCAUCUCAAGAAACCACUUUACUCUUCCGUCAUGGAGAUGGCUUAUUUCCUUAAACCUCAUGAACCAACCUCUACUAGCUUCAGACUUUUCUUCUGCAGUUUCCUCACCUCUGUCAGCCUCCAUACAAUCGAAGAAUUAAGGGCUUGCUCUGGAUUAGGUAUUGGCUUAAGGGAAUGUCGUGGCUAGUUUGAUCCUCUAUCCAGACCACUAAAACUUUCUAUCAGCAAUAA
rnacentral:sRNA from 1 species